GGCAAGAUGGCCGAGCGGUCUAAGGCGCCACGUUAAGGAACUACCCUUAAUCCUAAUCUUUACAGAUUCCGUGGUCCGAAAGGGCGUGGGUUCGAAUCCCACUCUUGUCA